GACGUAGGGUGCAAGCGUUGUCCGGAUUUACUGGGCGUAAAGAGCGCGUAGGCGGCUCGUUAAGUGUGAAGCUAAAUCUCUUGGCUCAACCAAGAAACUAUUUCGCAUACUGGCGGGCUGGAGUGAUGCAGAGGUGGAUAGAAUUCCCGGUGUAGCGGUGAAAUGCGUUGAUAUCGGGAGGAAUACCCGUGGCGAAGGCGGUCCACGGGGCAUCAACUGACGCUGAGGCGCG
rnacentral:rRNA from 1 species